rnacentral:tRNA from 1 species
GGAUCGUUAGCUCAGUUGGUAGAGCAGCUGACUCUUAAUCAGCGGGUCGGGUGUUCGAGCCACCCACGAUCCA